AGCCCUUUUAAUAGAGGUUCAAAUCCUCUCGUUAACU
rnacentral:tRNA from 2 species